GCACCCUGCAUGGUCACCACUAGGGGCAGAAUGUGUUGCACCCCUGAAGCUCCUUCAAGGCAUCCAUUUCUUAAGAGCACAAAGAAUCUAUAAAUGUACGAGGGAAGCAACUAGCUGCUGACGCUCUUUCCCAGAAGGCAGCUCUUUGCCACGAAAGCCAAGGAAGCCGCAGCAUGGCUGCCACGGCAAGCAAGCAAGCUCCGGCUUCGUAGGAAUUAGCUUCCGAGAAGCUCAGUAUUCAGUGGAGGCACAUCUCCAACCACUUCGAUGUAACUGUCAGAAAACCUGCUUGCUACCCAGGGUGAACAGUGUGAUAAAGGCUUCCACUACAGUCUCUGAUCAUCACUACAUCCUGGGGUUCCAGGAGAAUAAAGGCAUCCAGCUAAGGAAUCUGAAAACCACUGGAUAAAUGAGACAUAGGAAGAAAAAGGACAAAUCAUCCAGAAAAAUGUCCCAAGAAAAAGGGCUUCCCUCAAGAUGCUGUUACCCCAAGAUAGCAGGAAGUAAAUUUAAGAAGACAACGCCCACUCCCAAGUAGUAGAGUGGGUUUUUGGUCAUUCAAUGGGUUAUGAAUAUUUGUCAUUGUUUAGGGGCCUCAGUUACAACUUGUUAUUGGUUACAGUCAGGAAGAAAGUUGAAGACAGGAGAUAAGAUACAGAGUUCUUGUUUUGAAAAGAAAAAAAGGAUACAGAUAUGAUAGCAUAAAAGGGUAGAUUAUUAAAUCUACUCUGAAAAGAAAAAGGGAUAAUACAUAUUUGAUAAGAUAAAAGGGUAGAUUAUUGAAACUACUUUUAAAAAGCAACUACUAGUUUUACAUGUUUUACAUUGGACUGGACUUUUGCAUAUUGUAUACAAAUUUUGUACAUGGAUACAAAUUUGAUACUAAUUUUGAUAAAACAUGCUGUACAUAUGUUUCUAAGCUUGUUCAAGGUAUUGUAUCUAUACAGUUUAUUUAACAAUAUAACACAAAUUUCUUGUAAUUGAAAGUUAUAUUUACUUACUCUUUAGGAUAAUAAAGAAAUGCAGGUUAAUCAUUAGUCACCUAUUACAAUAGAACUUGUAGACAUUUUAGGUACAUUUUCAAAAUGAAACAGAUAUAUUUUAGAUAGUCAAGUCAUUUUCAAACAAUUUAGAGAUCUGCAGAAUAUGGCAUUUAAGAUAUUUUAGUAACAGAGGCUCUUUUUUAUGACAAUGAGACAUGUCUGCUCCUGGCAGUCCCAAUCUACUUCAGAGAAGAUAAUAGGCAUUGAAGAAACUCCACAUGAAGUUUACUUUCUUUGGGGCCAAAGUAAGCCACUGGAUCAUGGUUCCAGGGAGCCUCUUCUUUCACCCGAGGUUGAGUAUGCCACCAUCCAAAACGCGAUGUUAGCUGGGGUCUCUGGACAGGAAAACCAAAGGGUUUAACUGGCAACUGUCCUCUCCACUUUGAUUCCUGAUCAUGACGUAGGGAAGUGCAACUCAUAAUGGCAACUUCCUGUGUGCCCUUUCUCCUCUGUGCACCAUGGAGUCUACUUCCAGGUUGAUUUUCUGGGGACCCUAAAGCAGAGAGACCAGACCCCUGGGCAGUGGCUGAUUCCAGGAAAUGAAGUAUUUGUGCAGCACUGCCUGGGUUUGAAAACUCCAUCUUUACUAAGAUCCAGGUGAAGGCGCACUUAAGGAACACUUUCCAUGGUUUUUGUGAUGGCGAUUGAACUCACUAUGAUUGGCUGACGUCUUACUGACAUGAGAACACUCACAAUUACUUCUGGAACAUACUUUUCACCAAAAGGUCCCAGCUACCAUGCCAUAGGCAGACAAUCACUUCUGGAGGCAUCAUAAUCCCUGACUUCAAACUCUACUACAGAGCUACAGUACUGAAAACAGCCUGGUAUUGGCAUAAGAACAGACAGGAGGAACAAUACAACCAAAUAGAAGAGCCAGAUAUUAUCCACACCCCUUCGAACACCUGAUUUUUGACAAAGAAGCAAAAAAUAUCAAAUGGAAAAAAGAAAGCAUAUUUAACAAACGAUGCUGGCAUAACUGGAUAUCAACAUGUAGAAGAAUGAAAAUAGACCCAUAUCUAUCACCAUGCACAAAAUUCAAGUCCAAAUGGAUCAAAGACCUCAACAUAAAGCCAGCCACAUUGAACCUUACAGAAGAGAAAGUGGAAUGUACACUUGAACUCAUUGGCACAGGAGAGCUCUUAGCAAGUCACACUCUUAGGGCAUAAGGCCAAUACAGAGAAAAUAAAUUGCAAUCUCCAUCAUGAGGAUGCAAGAGUUAAGAAGCCCCAAAAGUAAAAUCUUGGGCAGAAACUAAUCUUCACACUAAACAUGACCCUGUCCUUCACAGCCUUAUAGGAACACUCUAACUGACACACAUGCACAGGGCCCUCAGCUGACUGGGCGAAAACAGUGUCAUAUAGUGUCUAGGUACCCAUGUGAGUGUAGGUAUUGUAUAACCUUUCAGCCUGAUAGCAGAUGGUAUGCAGAGGACAGAUGAUGUGGACAAUUGACAUGAGAGAGACAUCCAUUCACCCAACUGUCCUAGGGCCAGCAAUCGUUUAUUGUCUAACAGAAGGAGGAUUCAGGGAAGGCAGAGGACUAAAAUCAUAUGGGAGGUCUCCCUUAUGAGAACCCCAGUUCAUAACUCCAUGAUCAAGAGUCAUAGCACAGAGGUCAGCUCAUGCUUAAACCCUUUGGAGGAUUUGGUCCAAAGGACCCAAGCUUCAUCCCUAGACCCAGUCUGAUUUCAAGUGGAGAGUGUCAGCCAUAUUCUACAGCUGUCAGGACAUUAUAGCUUAGAGGCAUUUUCAGCCUCUGUUGACACUGGAGGCUCCCCAGAAUCCUGAUUUGGGAAAUACACAAUGACAUAAGAAGACACUGCAUUCAUUUACACCUGUUACCUGCCUACCAGGCCCUGAGCUGGGGCUCCAAACCUUCCCUUUGUGCUUGCCUAGCAACCAUUAUUGUCUUAUGGUUUGUGUCCUCCAAAAGCGGCUACCUGCUCAUAAAAUCAUCCUGGAGCCACUGGGCCUGCCAAAGGGGACACUGGUAUUUAAACCAGUAUAAUUGGCAGCUCUCCUGUCUCACAUCUACCUUCAUUAUUGACUUAGUUCAUACUAAGGAAGGACUCUGACUUCUCCUUUCUACUCAAUUCACUUGGCUCGCAGAACAAAGAUGCCCACCUGCAAUGCACCAUAGAAUGCCUGCAAUCCAUACUUGAGUUUAUUCCCCAUACCUUGGAUUGUACUGGGGACCUGAUAUUGAUGUUUAACUCCUGACUGAGAGUUAUAACACACUGAGCUGUAACUGAAGUCCUCAAUGACAGGAGAUAAUAAAGGAAAUGAAAAGGAAGUCAAAAUGUAGGAAAGACAGCAGGAAUCAACUGAACAUGAAUCAGAGAGCAGACUGGGGAUAUCAGCAGCAAUGGAGGGAGUGGAAAAGGAUCAUAGGAAAGAAGGAAGGGAUGCAGUGAUGAUGGACUAAGGGAGGAAGAAGGGAAUGAAGAAAUGAAAGGACUGAGAAAUAGCUAAACUCUUGAUGAUAUUUCUGGAGACCUCCAAGCCCAUGUACAGAGUCCAGGAUCCCAAGGGCAGUGUCUAUUCCAGGACUUGAGGACAGGUGAAGUUCAAAAAAUAUAUACAAGAAGAAGGGGACCAUGAAUUCACCAGCGCUCAACCUGUCUCUGAUCCUGGAUGCUUUAUACACACAUCUGCAGUAUGGGUGCUGACUCCUGGGUAGAGAGCCCCUCCCCACCCUGACAAACAUGGCUGUCACAGAAAAUCCAAGCCUGUAUUUCCUGUGUAGCUAUGGUUGUUGCUCUGCAGUACAGCAAGUCUCUGGCAAUGGUGAGGUGGUCACCAUUAGCUGGAGUGGGCUAACUGAAGCCCGUGUUACUUUACUCUUUAGACCAGAUUCUUCGAUAAAUUCUUUAUUCAAUUCCUCCCCUCACUUUUUGAGAGAAAUAACAUUGAGGUGUUUGUGGGAACAGUAAAGAAACACUGCACUGCUUGAGAGCAGUAUUGCACCAACAUGGUCAAGGUACCAGGUUUCCUGGGUAUCUCCCUCCACCCUUCUCUGAUUAAAAAAAAAGUCAAACAAUUUGCUAUUAGAUUCCAAGUUGUCAAUCUUGGACUCUUUUAGCCAGAAAUAGGCCUUGAAGCCUUAGAAUCUUCCUGUAUGGAUAUUGUAUGGAAAGUCACAGACCCCACUCCAACACAACGACAGGACAUGUUCUCAAGAACUAAGGAUCAUACAGCAAAACUGAAUUGGGAAUCCUCAAAUGAGAAGCAUGAGUCAGCAGAUGGCACAGAAAUAAAAUCUUGGGCAGAAACUGGACAUUGGGCUGAGCACAACCCCCUAUAUCCUGCCAGGAACAAGUUAACUGACCCACAUAUCCAUGGCACUCAGGGGGAACAUUGAAGCUGGGUCUUAGGGUAACCCAUAGAGUGCCCAGUCCUCUUGCGGGUGUGCAAACAUUAUAUAGCCAUUCCACAAGCCAGUUUCUACUUCAAGGCUUCCAGACCCCCUCCUCACACUCACACACCAGGCUCCUGACUGGGAGAGCACAUAGGACAGAGGGAGGUGGGCAGUUUGCAUAAGGGAGACAUCACCUACACACACGCGUGCGCACACACGUGCAUGCCAUAGGAGCAGCAACAGAUCUACACCCAGCAGAAUGAGAGGCCAGGCUGUACCGAGGAUGGAAAGCAAACAGCUCGCUUCCAUGUUGAGGGUCCCAUUUCCUGCGCCACGGACUAGAGUCAGAAUAAAAAGAAUAAAUGUCACCUAAACUCUUUUGUCUUCUUGUCCAGAGACCCCAACAUGUGUACUCUAGGACCUUGACUAUCAUCCACCUCCAAGAUCACAAGAGUUUUUGUGUUGAGACCCCUGAGCCUCUGAUGGAAGAUUUGUUUCCCAG